CAUGCCGUAAACGUUGGGCGCUAGGUGUGGGGCUCAUUCCACGAGUUCCGUGCCGCAGCUAACGCAUUAAGCGCCCCGCCUGGGGAGUACGGCCGCAAGGCUAAAACUCAAAGGAAUUGACGGGGGCCCGCACAAGCGGCGGAGCAUGCGGAUUAAUUCGAUGCAACGCGAAGAACCUUACCAAGGCUUGACAUACACCGGAAACACCCAGAGACGGGUGCCCCGCAAGGUCGGUGUACAGGUGG
rnacentral:rRNA from 1 species